rnacentral:rRNA from 1 species
AGUAAACGGCGGCCGUAACUAUAACGGUCCUAAGGUAGCGAAAUUCCUUGUCGGGUAAGUUCCGACCCGCACGAAAGGCGUAACGAUUUGGGCACUGUCUCAACGAGAGACUCGGUGAAAUCAUAGUACCUGUGAAGAUGCAGGUUACCCGCGACAGGACGGAAAGACCCCGUGGAGCUUUACUGUAGCCUGAUAUUGAAAUUCGGCACAGCUUGUACAGGAUAGGUAGGAGCCUUUGAAACGUGAGCGCUAGCUUACGUGGAGGCGCUGGUGGGAUACUACCCUAGCUGUGUUGGCUUUCUAACCCGCACCACUUAUCGUGGUGGGAGACAGUGUCAGGCGGGCAGUUUGACUGGGGCGGUCGCCUCCUAAAAGGUAACGGAGGCGCUCAAAGGUUCCCUCAGAAUGGUUGGAAAUCAUUCAUAGAGUGUAAAGGCAUAAGGGAGCUUGACUGCGAGACCUACAAGUCGAGCAGGGUCGAAAGACGGACUUAGUGAUCCGGUGGUUCCGCAUGGAAGGGCCAUCGCUCAACGGAUAAAAGCUACCCCGGGGAUAACAGGCUUAUCUCCCCCAAGAGUUCACAUCGACGGGGAGGUUUGGCACCUCGAUGUCGGCUCAUCGCAUCCUGGGGCUGUAGUCGGUCCCAAGGGUUGGGCUGUUCGCCCAUUAAAGCGGUACGCGAGCUGGGUUCAGAACGUCGUGAGACAGUUCGGUCCCUAUCCGUCGUGGGCGUAGGAAAUUUGAGAGGAGCUGUCCUUAGUACGAGAGGACCGGGAUGGACAUACCUCUGGUGUACCAGUUGUCGUGCCAACGGCAUAGCUGGGUAGCUAUGUGUGGACGGGAUAAGUGCUGAAAGCAUCUAAGCAUGAAGCCCCCCUCAAG